AUUGCAAUCUGCUGUCCAUGCAGUGUGUCCAGGAUGAUGACUGCUAUGAGGAAGUAAGAAAGAUUUUAGAGCAGUGUGACAUCAUCUCUGACAACAACUGCUUCAUUAAAAUGAAAAAGACGGCCUGUCGUCCUCCUGCUCACAUUGAGUUUCAGAGUUACUCUGACUUGGACGCUAAUGGAGGAGUCAGGAGGGUUGAACCGAAGAG